CAGCCGCCGCGGUAAUACGAAGGGGGCUAGCGUUGCUCGGAAUGACUGGGCGUAAAGGGCGCGUAGGCGGCUUGGUAAGUUAGAGGUGAGAGCCUGGAGCUCAACUCCAGAAUUGCCUUUAAGACUGCCGAGCUAGCAGGUGAGAGAGGUAAGUGGAAUUCCGAGUGUAGAGGUGAAAUUCGUAGAUAUUCGGAAGAACACCAGUGGCGAAGGCGGCUUACUGGCUCAUACUGGACGCUGAGGUGCGAAAGCGUGGGGAGCAAACAGGAUUAGAUACCCCCGUAGUCCCUGUCUCUUAUAC
rnacentral:rRNA from 1 species